AAACUUUACAAUGCACGUAAGUGUGAUAAGGGGAUCCUAAGUGCCUAUACUAUGUAUAGGCUUUUUCUAAGACCAAACAUCUUAGGGAAUAAGUGGUGGGCAAGACUGGUGCCAGCCGCCGCGGUAACACCAGCAUCACAAGUGGCAAUCGAUUUUAUUGGGCCUAAAAGUUCGUAGCCGGUCUAGUAAAUCCUUAGUUAAAUUGUUGCGCUUAACGUAACAACACGCUGAGGAAACUGCUAGACUAGGAAUCGGGAGGGGUUAGAAGUAUUUCUAGGGUAGCGGUAAAAUGUUAUAAUCCUAGAAGGACUAUCAGUGGCGAAGGCGUCUAACUAGAACGAAUUCGACGGUGAGGAACGAAAGCUAGGGGAGCAAUCCGGAUUAGAUACAGCUUUUUUUGUUCAAGCUAAAGCUUGAAAAAAAAACCUGGGAAAAAUUCCAGGCUGUACGAUAUUCGCUUCGCGAAAUCGUACUGACUUCUGCAUUGACGAUGCAAUAAUACUACUGUUGAUGAAGAAACAAAAUCAUUGAAAGCUGCUAAUUACCCGAGUAGUCCUAGCCGUAAACGCUGCGAGCAAGGUGGUGCAUAUCCUUCGAGGAUAUGCAGCGUCGAAAUGAAGAUGCUAAGCUCGUUGCCUGGGGAGUACGGUCGCAAGGCUGAAACUUAAAGGAAUUGGCGGGGGAGCACUACAAGAGGUGCGGCGUGCGGUUUAAUCUAACUCAACGCAGAGAAUCUUACCAAGAGCGACGGCAGUAUGAAAGUCAGGCUAAAGACCUUACUAGACAAGCCGAGAGGUAGCGCAUGGCCGUCGUCAGCUCGUGCUGUGAAGUGUCCUGUUAAAUUUCGCUACGAAAUUUUCGGAACGAAGUGACAGAAAGUCAGGCAACGAGCGAGACCUGUACUCACAAUUGCUAACAACUUAUGGGAUUGAGCACUUUGUGAGGACUGCCUGUGAAAACAGGAGGAAGGUGCAGACAACGGUAGGUCUGUAUGCUCCGAAUCCCUUGGGAUACACGCGCGCAACAAUGGUAGGGACAAUGGGAUACAACUCCGAAAGGAGAAUUAAUCCUCGAAACCCUAUCUUAGUCCAAAUUGAGGGUGGAACUCACCCUCAUGACCCUGGAAUCCUUAGUAAUCGGACGUUAUCACCGGCCGGGGAAAUUGUCCCUG
rnacentral:rRNA from 1 species